GUGUCAGCAGCCGCGGUAAAACGUAGGGGACAAGCGUUAUCCGGAUUUACCGGGCGUAAAGCGCCCGUAGGCGGCUUUUUAAGUUGGACGUGAAAGCUCCCGGCUUAACUGGGAGAGGCCGUUCAAAACUGGAAAGCUAGAGUGAGGAAGAGGAGAGCAGAAUUCCCGGUGUAGUGGUGGAAUGCGUAGAGAUCGGGAGGAAUACCAGUGGCGAAAGCGGCUCUCUGGUCCUAAACUGACGCUGAGGGGCGAAAGCGUGGGGAGCGAACGGGAUUAGAUACCCCGGUAGUCCACGCCGUAAACGAUGGAGACUAGGUGUAGGUGGAUAGAACCCCAUCUGUGCCGAAGCCAACGCGUUAAGUCUCCCGCCUGGGGAGUACGGCCGCAAGGUUAAAACUCAAAGGAAUUGACGGGG
rnacentral:rRNA from 1 species